GACAUUAGAAGAGUUAAACUGACAAGUGACAUCUAUAAACUCUUCAUUCAAUACUGAAAACGAAAAUAAACUAAAAAAUAUAAGUAACUGAGUGUAAUAAAUGCUGUAAUAUUUCUUUCACAAUAGGUAAUUCAUGGCGUAAAGUAUUUUUGCUGGUUAUUAUUUUCGUUAGCAGAAUCAUGGCUUGGCGAAGUCAUGGAGUAAACAAUGCUGAUAUGGUUCGAAAUUUACGAGCCAAUGGCAUCAUAAAAUCUGAUGCUGUAGCAAAUGCGAUGUUAGCUGUUGACCGAAAAAAUUACUGCCCUUCUGCUCCAUACCAUGAUUCACCACAAACGAUUGGAUACUCAGCCACCAUAAGUGCUCCACACAUGCAUGCUCAUGCAUUGGAAAGGUUAAAGAACCAACUAAUACCAGGAGAAAAAGCAUUGGAUGUAGGAUCUGGUUCUGGCUACUUGACUGCUUGUAUGGCCAUGAUGGUUGGAGAAGCUGGACGAGUUGUUGGGAUAGAUCACAUAACUGAGCUUGUAACAUUGGCUACUAAAAACAUUCAGAAUGACAACCCUACACUGCUCACUUCUGAAAGGGUUAAGUUGGUUGCUGGUGAUGGACGUCUAGGAUACCCAGCUGAUGGACCAUAUAAUGCUAUCCAUGUUGGAGCAGCUGCACCUACUCUACCACAACCUUUGGUUGAUCAACUUAAACCUGGUGGCAGGCUUGUUGUACCUAUUGGUCCUGAGGGUGGUGAACAACAUUUGACUCAGGUUGACAAGGCAGCUGACGGCACAACUACCAUAAAAAAACUAAUGAGUGUUAUCUAUGUACCGCUGACUGACAAGGACCACCAAUAUCGUAUGAUGAGGAACUUUUUUGGAUUUUUAAGAAAAAAGCCCUGACUAGUUUUUAUUACUUUUAUUUUCUGCUGUUACACCUAUAUUAUCAUUGUUAGAUCAUUUUGAUUUCAUAUAUACGAGUCCUUGGCGUUGAUAUUAUUUCCGAGUGAGACCAUUAUUACUAUUGAUCGUAAGUGUAAUCUACCUUGAAAUAUUAAAGUAGACGAGUACACACCUUAUAUCCAAUGAAUUUAUUGUAUUGUUCACACCAUUGCUUCUUAAAUUAUUGUAUGGUUUAAAUAAUAAAUUAUUUACAUAUCACA